rnacentral:rRNA from 1 species
GCAAACUGGGGGACGGGAGGCGGGGGAAGAGAGGGAUUGAGAACGUUGUUCGGAGUGUGUGGGCGUAAAGCGUGGGUAGGUGGCCGCGAAAGUCGGAUGGGAAAGCCCUGGGCUCAACUCAGGAAGUGAACCCGAUACUGCGUGGCUCUAGUACCGGAGAGGUUGGUGGAAUUCUCGGUGUAGAGGUGAAAUUCGUAGAUAUCGAGAGGAACACCUGUGGCGAAGGCGGCCAACUGGACGAGUACUGACACUGAGACACGAAAGCGUGGGGAGCAAACAGGAUUAGAUACCCUAGUAGUC